UAUGUAUCUAUGAGAAGGAGAGUAGGUCUUUACAUGUAUUAUAGCGAGUCAGGGACGGUGGAAGCCUGACAUACAGUAUUGACUGAAGCGCACCUUUGAGAUUUUAGCUGAAAUAACAGUAGGCUAAAUGGUUUUCUCCCCAUUAUCGGAGAAUAGAGAGGAUACAUUUAUGUAUCAAUAAGAGUGGUAACGCGGGCAAUAACUCGUCUCUUAC
rnacentral:ncRNA from 1 species